GACGAACGCUGGCGGCGUGGAUUAGGCAUGCAAGUCGAACGGUAUCAUCCUUUCGGGGGUGAGAGAGUGGCGAACUGGUGAGUAACACGUAGGUUAUCUACCCUCAAGACGGGGACAACCCAGGGAAACUUGGGCUAAUACCGGAUGUGAGCAACUUUUAGUUGUUUGAAAGGUGGCGUAAGCUGUCGCUUGGGGAUGAGCCUGCGUCCUAUUAGUUAGUUGGUGAGGUAACGGCUCACCUAGGCAAUGAUAGGUAGGCGGCCUUAACGGGUGGUCGCCCACACUGGGGAUUGAGAUACGGCCCAGACUCCUACGGGAGGCAGCAGUCGAGAAUAGUCUACAAUGGUCGGAAGACUGAUAGUGCGACGCCGCGUGAACGAUGAAUCCCUUCGGGGUGUAAAGUUCUUUUAUAUGUGAGCAGUGCUUCUUAUAUUAACAGUAUGGGGAGAGAGAUAUUAGCAUAUGAAUAAGCAACGGCUAACUCCGUGCCAGCAGCCGCGGUAACUCGU
rnacentral:rRNA from 1 species